AGCGAACGCUGGCGGCAUGCCUAACACAUGCAAGUCGCACGGGGGGGCUUCGGCCUCCCAGUGGCGGACGGGUGAGGAACGCGUAGGGACCUGUCGAGGGGUGGGGGAUAACCGCGGGAAACUGCGGCUAAUACCGCAUGACGCCGCGGCGUGACAGCCGGGGCCAAAGGCGAAAGCCGCCCGCCGAGGGGCCUGCGUCCGAUUAGCUGGUUGGCGGGGUAGCGGCCCACCAAGGCGUCGAUCGGUAGCUGGUCUGAGAGGGUGAUCAGCCACCCCGGGACUGAGACACGGCCCGGACUCCUACGGGAGGCAGCAGUGGGGAAUAUUGGACAAUGGGCGCAAGCCUGAUCCAGCAAUGCCGCGUGGGUGAAGAAGGUCUUCGGAUUGUAAAGCCCUUUCGGCGGGGACGAUGGUGACGGUACCCGCAGAAGAAGCCCCGGCUAACUUCGUG
rnacentral:rRNA from 1 species